rnacentral:rRNA from 1 species
UACGUAGGGGGCUAGCGUUGUCCGGAAUCAUUGGGCGUAAAGCGCGUGUAGGCGGCCCGGUAAGUCCGCUGUGAAAGUCGGGGGCUCAACCCUCGAAAGCCGGUGGAUACUGUCGGGCUAGAGUACGGAAGAGGCGAGUGGAAUUCCUGGUGUGGCGGUGAAAUGCGCAGAUAUCAGGAGGAACACCCAUUGCGAAGGCAGCUCGCUGGGACGUUACUGACGCUGAGACGCGAAAGCGUGGGGAGCAAACAGG